rnacentral:rRNA from 1 species
UACGUAGGGGGCGAGCGUUGUCCGGAUUUAUUGGGCGUAAAGAGCGUGUAGGCGGCCAGGUAGGUCUGCUGUGAAAACUCGAGGCUCAACCUCGAGACGUCGGCGGAAACCAUCUGGCUAGAGUCCGGAAGAGGAGAGUGGAACUCCGAGUGUAGAGGUGAAAUUCGUAGAUAUUCGGAAGAACACCAGUGGCGAAGGCGGCUCACUGGUCCGGUACUGACGCUGAGGUGCGAAAGCGUGGGGAGCAAACAGG